rnacentral:misc_RNA from 1 species
AAAAAUAUUUAUCCGAGAAUUCGUUUUGUUUUCUCGGAUUAAUUUGUAUUCAAAUCCUGCUCUUUAUAAAUAUAUCAAUUAUAUAAAACAAAAUAAAAAAAGA